rnacentral:lncRNA from 1 species
AAAGGAAAUGAGACCUCAGUCGACCACGUGCUGAACCAGCCAGCCAGGCUUCCUUCCUCCAUUGCUUCUGCUGUGGCGACCUACGAGUGGGGGCUUUCCACAGAAGGCUGCGGGUCCGGGAACGGGGGCAGGACUUACAGACCUCACCAGAGUGUGGCCAAGGACAGAAGUUCUCUAUACGGAAGAGAAGGCUUGUCUAAUGAAGUCCUCCUGGAUUUAGGGUGGGUCCUAAAUCCAGUGACUGGUGUCCUUAUAAGAAGACCACAUGAAGCCGCAGGGAGGCACGGAGAGGAUACCAUGUGACCACGGAGACAGAGACUGGAGUGCAGCAUCUAGGAACCAAAGACAGCCAAGGAAUCCUGGCACUGCCAGAAGCCAGGAGAGAGCCGGAACAUUCUCCCAGAGCUUUUGGAAGGAACCUAGCCUGCCCACACCUUGAUUUUGGACUUCUGGCCUUCAGAACUCCAGGAGAAGAGCUUCUGUUGUUUGAAGACACCCAGUUUGCGGUCAUUUGUUAAAGCAGCCCCCGGACACUAAGCCACAGUGUAGCCAUAUGCUUGGGCUGGGUCCCAGGGCAGCACUGACUCCUCACUUUACCUUGUGUCACAGCAAAGCCCACAGCCAGGGAGAGGGGGUCAAACUGCAGCAGCUCUCACUUCUGAGCAUCAUAACGAAAGCCAAAGACAGCGCCAUUUACCUAAAUCGGACAGCCUACAGAAUCUUCCAGUCUGAAAUAAGAAAUGUCAAGCGUUUUAGCCAUGGGAAUUAUAGGGUAGGGGAGAUCCUUCCCCUUAACUAGUCAGUGGUUGAAAUUUCUUUUGCAGCAGAAAAUUUAAGUGGUAGCUUGACUGUUUAAUGUUUGCAACAUUAGAAUGCCCUAGUCUCCACUUACUGAUUUAAAGAGCAACAGAAAUCCUUACAGGAAGAGCAGUAGGAUGGCUGAUUCCUGAAAGCGGCUUCCUGACACCCUCGCCCCAGCACCCCUGGGUCCAGUCACCAUUCAGAUACAUCUUUUGAUGGGUUGCAAGGAAAAGAACAGUGUCAGGGGACAAGGCCUGUUUACCUACAACUAACUGAAGCCCUUUGAUGAGCUCUCCUCCCAUCUCCAAUCUGCCCCCAACCGCUGGCCGUUCCUAACCCAUCUCUUUGCAAAUAAAAGUUAUCACCAUCAG